UCCGGUUUGGCACCGGCAGUCCUCCCAGAGUCCUCGACUUGACUCGCUAGCAACUGGGAGCGGGGGUUGCGCUCGUUGCGGGACUUAACCCAACAUCUCACGACACGAGCUGACGACAGCCAUGCAGCACCUGUGCAGGGACUCCGAAGAGGGGACUCGGUUUCUCGAGCCUUUCCCCUGCAUGUCAAGCCCAGGUAAGGUGGGGAUGACGUUCCCUUCCAUCACA
rnacentral:misc_RNA from 1 species